UACGUAGGGGGCAAGCGUUGUCCGGAUUUACUGGGCGUAAAGGGCGUGCAGGCGGUCCGCAAAGUCUGAUGUGAAAGCCCCGGGCUCAACCUGGGAACUGCAUUGGAAACUAACGGGCUCGAGUGUGGCAGAGGGGGGUGGAAUUCCACGUGUAGCAGUGAAAUGCGUAGAGAUGUGGAGGAACACCGAUGGCGAAGGCAGCCCCCUGGGCUAACACUGACGCUCAGGCACGAAAGCGUGGGGAGCAAACAGG
rnacentral:rRNA from 1 species